AUGAUUAUCACCAUGGCAGGUACACUCCUACUCCUAAACCAUCCACUGUUUAACCUUACGAGAUCAACAACUAGUAAGUCUAAACGCGAGCAGGACACGGGACAACGGCCAUCGAUCACCUCAGUAGUCCUCAGAGGAGCCAUACUCAUCGGAGUAGUAGGAGCCAUCUUCUUCUUCCACCCCCUCCUCCUCCUCUUCAUCAUCAGAGGAGCAGUAGUAGUCACCGGUGAGGAGCUUCCGGCCGACCUCGAAGGAAACGAACGCGUCGAUGCAGGCGUACUUGAUCUGCUCAUGGGAGAGGCGGUAGGCGUCCCAGGCCCCCGUCCUCACACGCUGUGGCUUCUCCAGGUUGGCCCUCAUGACGGCGCCCGUGAUGUCCUUGAGCCCGGCCUGCCGGAGCCACGGCCUGCGCAUCCCGUCGGCCGCGAGGCCGCGCAGGUCGACGGUGUUGUUCACCACGAGGUCGUGGUCGUUGCGGAGGCGGUCCGCGUCGUCCUGCACGCCCACGCCGACGAAGCGGAAGUCCGGGUCGGCGAGGAAGCUCUCGAGGGACCGCGGGAUGUAGUCGGCGUGGAGGAGCUGGAAGAUGAGGCAGCGGCGGCCGACGCAGAGCUGGAGGAGCGCGGCGCGGUUGUACCCGGGGCCGAAGCUGGGGCGCCACUCCACGUCCAGACCCACGAUGAGCUUGUGGUACACCCAGCGGUAGGCGUACCGGAUCUUGCGGAGCCAGGCCACGACGGCGUCGCCGGAGGACGUGACGGUGGUGGUGAUGACGUCGUCCUCGAAGGCCACGUCGGUGACGAACGUCUCGGUGCCCAUUGCGAUGAGCGAGAGCGGUCCCUCAAGCUACGGGGAGUUUUUUUUUUUUUUGAGAUGAAGCUACGGGGAGUUGGGAAGAGAUGA
rnacentral:rRNA from 1 species